ensembl:lncRNA
GAGGGGCUGCACACCGCGGCCUGUGCCUGGCGCCUCUGCUGCUGCCGUGUGACCCUGGCAUCAGCUCAGCCCACCCUGAACCCUGUUUGCUCUUCUGGAAAAUAUGUAGAGCUUUCGGUGACCAGGAUUGAAACCCAUCAAUCCUGAAGGACAUCAGUCCCGAAUGUUCAUUGGAAGGACUGAUGCUGAGGCGCCAGGACUCUGGCCACCUGAUGAGAAGAGCCAACUCACUGGAAAAGUCCCUGAUUCUGGGAAACAUUGAGGGCAGAAGGAGAAGGGGCGACAGAGGAUGAGACGGUUGGAUGGCAUCACUGACCCAGUGGACGUGACUUUGAGCAAGCUCUGGGAGAUGGUGAGGGACAGGGGAGCCUGCUGUGCUGUGGUCCACGGGGUCACAGCGAGUCAGACGCGAGGCAGUGACUGAACGCAAACCACCACGAGGGAGGGCAGUGCUGGUAUUUGGGUUUGCUCCCAGUGGGUGUGCGGCUGUUUCAGCUGAGAAGAAUGUUGCCCACCACCCAGUCCCACCUACAACACACCCUGGAAGGAAUUCAAUGCAGAGACCAGGAACGAGACACUCUGUGCUCUGGGGAAACAGGCAGAACAGGCCCUCAGUUAGUUAGACAUUUUCAGGAGAAAAUUUAUGAACCCGGAUUCUUGCGUCUCCUCAUACUUAGAGAAGCACUAGAAUUGGUAACUCAGAUACCUGUUCCUCAUGACCUUCAGCAACAUUCUACCAAGACAGGAGCUUGGCUGCAGGGACCCUUGGACAAAAUCACGGCUAUACUGAUCGCCAACCCCCAGCACUUGGGACCAGCUCCUCAGAGCUGCCGCGAGGCUGCUGCUCAGGCUGUGUGUGCGAGGUGUGUGUACACACGUACAACCGUGCACGCUCAGUUGUGUCCGACUCAAACCAUGGACUGUAGCCCACAAGGCUCCUCCACCCCUGGGAUUUCCCAGGCAAGAAUACUGGAGGGGGUUGCCAUUUCCUACUCCAGGGGAUCUUCCCGACCCAGGGAUCCAACCCACGUCUCCUACAUGCUCGGGCUGAUUCUUUACCACUGAGCCACGUGGGCCCCCAGUCCUUAGUAA